AGUGAACGCUGGCGGUAGGCCUAACACAUGCAAGUCGAACGGCAGCACAGUAAGAGCUUGCUCUUACGGGUGGCGAGUGGCGGACGGGUGAGGAAUACAUCGGAAUCUACUUUUUCGUGGGGGAUAACGUAGGGAAACUUACGCUAAUACCGCAUACGACCUACGGGUGAAAGCAGGGGAUCUUCGGACCUUGCGCGAUUGAAUGAGCCGAUGUCGGAUUAGCUAGUUGGCGGGGUAAAGGCCCACCAAGGCGACGAUCCGUAGCUGGUCUGGGAGGAUGAUCAGCCACACUGGAACUGAGACACGGUCCAGACUCCUACGGGAGGCAGCAGUGGGGAAUAUUGGACAAUGGGCGCAAGCCUGAUCCGGCCAUACCGCGUGGGUGAAGAAGGCCUUCGGGUUGUAAAGCCCUUUUGUUGGGAAAGAAAAGCAGCAGGUUAAUACCCCGCUGUUCCGACGGUACCCAAAGAAUAAGCACCGACUAACUUCGUG
rnacentral:rRNA from 1 species